rnacentral:rRNA from 1 species
AUGGUUUCCCGACCAGAUUUUACCAAAGGAAUUGGGUCAUCUCUGAAAGUUGAAAUUAUUGCUCCUGUGUUGGAGUUCUUUACUUCAGGUUCAAUGCUAGAGGGAGUGAAUGAUACGGCGAUUGCUUUAAUUCCUAAAGUUCCUCACCCCAAGGAGCUGGAGGACUUUAGGCCAUUUAGCCUAUGCAAUGUUAUUUACAAGAUCGUGUCCAAGUGCUUGGUUAAUCGACUCCGACCUCUGCUUGCGGAGCUGAUUUCGAAGAACCAAAGUGCAUUUAUUCCGUGUCGCCUCAUCUCGGACAAGUCUAUUAUUGCUUUUGAGUGUAUCCAUCACAUACAGAGUUUGAAGAAUAAUAGCCGGGCGGCUUGUGCUUAUAAACUUGAUCUUUCGAAGGCGUACGAUCAUGUUGAUUGGGCAUUCUUGGAACAUGCCCUAGGUAAAUGGGGUUUUUCGGAUCAGUGAAUAGCAUGGAUUAUGACAUGUGUUAAAUCAGUAAGAUACUCGGUAAAAUUCAAUGGGAAACUUUUGAAGGUGUUUACCCCAUCUAGGGGACUUCGACAAGGUGACCCACUAUCCCCAUUUUUAUUACUAUUUAUUGCUGAUGCCUUGUCUACCCUGAUAUCCAAAUCAGUGAAUGAGGGGAAUUUGAAGGGGGUGAAUAUUUGUCGUGGUGUGCUGAUCAUAUCUCACCUCCUAUUUGUGGAUGACACUAUGAUGUUUUUCGAAGCUUCAGGCGAACAAGCAAAUAUUGUAAAAGGUUUGUUGAACACUUAUUCCUCAGCGACGGGUCAACUCAUUAACCCCGAGAAGUGUUCCAUUCUUUUUUCGGAUAAUUGCAAUGAGCCGGUGGCGGAAGAGGUAAAGAGCAUUCUGGAGAUAACACAACACGUGUUCGAGCCAAAAUAUUUAGGCCUUCCUGUGCCAGAGGGAAGAGUGCACAAGGGGCAGUUCAAAACUCUACAGGAGAGGCUAAGGAAGAGGCUAGUUGACUGGAGUGAACAAUACAUGUCAGUUGGAAACAAGGAGAUCUUGAUAAAGGCCAUGGCUCAAGCAAUCCCCACUUAUGUCAUGAGCAUGUUCCGGUUACCUGCAUCAGUAUGUGACGACCUAACCAAAAUGAUUAGGCAGUACUGGUGGGGUGUGGAAAAUGGUAAGAGAAAGAUGGCUUGGCUAAGUUGGGAGAAAAUGAUGCUACCAAAAGAUAUGGGGGCCAUGGGGUUUCAGGAUAUGCGGGCGUUCAACCAAGCGUUGCUGGCCAAGCAAGCGUGGCGCCUACUGGACAGCCUGGACAGCCUUUGUGCCCGUUUAUUGCGUGCUAAAUACUACCCACGGGGUAAUUUACUCGACACUAUUUUUUCCUCAAACUCGUCAGCGGUCUGGAAAUGUAUUGUUCAUGGGCUGGAACUUCUAAAGAAGGGUAUUAUUUGGCGUGUUGGUGAUGGCACCUUAAUCAAGACUUGGAGAGAUGCUUGGAUCCCGAGAGGACAUAACUUUAGACCGGUCACACCAAAGAGGAAUUGCCGGUUUAAUUGGGUGGCUGACUUUUUGAAUGAACACGGGGCAUGGAAUGAACAAAGGCUGAGGGAACACUUUUGGGAACUCGGUGUUCAUGAGAUUUUGAAGAUCCGCACUUCACCAUGGAAUGGCCAUGAUUUCAUUGCCUGGUUCCCGGAGCGGAGCGGUCAAUUUUCGGUCCGGAGUGCAUAA